rnacentral:sRNA from 1 species
AAAAAAAAACUCUACAUUGUUCAAAAACAGAUACUUAAUUAAGAAAAAAAUAAGAGAUGACCAUUAUAGAUUUGAACCAAACGCGGAACAUAAUUGAAAAUAGAUG